rnacentral:lncRNA from 1 species
UCUGUUUUUAACAAAAGAAAUCUGAUCAUGAAGUACACUUAGUAAAAGUCAUUCAAUUAUGUCCAUUGUUUAUAGGAAAAAAAUCUAAGGUUUUAGCAAGGUGUACGGUACACUUUAAAUCAGUUCCCUGUCUGCCUUGAUACCAGGGCAGACAGGGAAACUCACCCCUGGUCCUCUCACUCCAAAUAUGUCUUUAAGCAUUUAUGCAUGCCAUUCCUUCUUCUUGCAAUCCCCUUCUCCUAAAUUACCAGGAAACUCCUAUCCAUACUUCAAAGUUCAACUCAGAUAUCAUCUCUUUGAUGAAGUUUUUCUUUAUUCUCUCAGUAGCGCUACUUACCUUUCUGGAUUCCUGCAGAACUUUGCAGUACUGACUCCCACAACAGCAUUCAUGAGACUGUGCCUAAUUAUUUAUUCUGAAGGCCAUUUCCACUAGUCUUUGAACCCAGGGCCUUAUUUUACAUAUCUGCCUCCAGUUUCAAGCACGGUGCCAGUUAUAUAGUGAGUACUAAAUGAAUAUUUGCCCAAUGAGCAAAUAAAUAAUGAGUGUGAUUUCAUCCUCUUGCUGUUUGCUGAUAUAAAAUUUGAUAUUUUUUCUUUCUCUCUUCUGGGAUUUUCUUUUUAUAGGAUACUCAUGUAUAGGUUUGGCUGCUUAGCAGGUAUGAUGAGGCUUAUGACAUUUCCACAGCUUACUACCAUCCACUCUCCUAGACUAAGUUCAUUCAGCAAAUGAUGGAUCAUCCAGUUAUUGAAUCUUACAGCUGGAAAGGAUGGUGAGGAAUCAUUUGGUUCCUCCUUCUCCUCAAGGAAGGACUUGGGCUUCUGUUCCAUUGUAAGUGGGAGGGAAGAGAGGACUGUAUGAUUUCAGAUCUCAACAUCAUCUCAGUGUACACUUUUCCUUUCAAAUAUAUGUCCAAUAGUCCUUAAGAUAAGUCAUCAUGAUUUUGGACAGGAUGGGUUAUAGAAGUGACAGGGAUGGCCAGGCAUGGUGGCUCAUGCAUGUAAUCUCAGCACUUCGGGAGGCUGAGGCGGGUGGAUCACCUGAGGUCAGGAGUUCGAGACCAGCCUGACCUAUAUGAUGAAAUCCCAUCUCUACUAAAAACACAAAAAUUAGCCGGGCCUAGUGGCAUGCAUCUGUAAUCCCGGCUACUUGGGAGGCUGAGACAUGAGAAUCACUUGAACCUAGGAGGCAGAGGUUGCAGUGAGCUGAGAUUGUGCCACUGCACUCCAACCUGGGCAACAAGAGUGAAACUCCGAACUCCGUCUAAAAGAAAAAAAAAAAAAAAAAA